rnacentral:rRNA from 1 species
GACGAACGCUGGCGGCGUGCUUAACACAUGCAAGUCGAACGGCAAGGCCCUGCUUUUGUGGGGUUCUCGAGUGGCGAACGGGUGCGUAACACGUGUGUAACCUGCUCUUGACUUUCGGAUAACUUCAGGAAACUGGGGCUAAUACCGUAUCGGAGCUCCUGCUGCAUUGUGGGGGUUGGAAAUUUUCGGCGGUUGGGGAUGGACUCGCGGCUUAUCAGCUUGCUGGUGGGGUAGUGGCUUACCAAGGCUUUGACGGGUAGCCGGCCUGAGAGGGUGAACGGGGACAUUGGGACUGAGAUACGGACCAGACUCCUACGGGAGGCAGCAGUGGGGAAUAUUGCACAAUGGGCGGAAGCCUGAUGCAGCAACGCCGCGUGCGGGAUGACGGCCUUCGGGUUGUAAACCGCUGUAGCCUGUGACGAAGCGUGAGUGACGGUAAUCGGUAAAGAAGCACCGGCUAACUACGUG